rnacentral:rRNA from 1 species
ACGUUGUUCGGAAUUACUGGGCGUAAAGCGUGUGUAGGCGGCCACGUAAGUCGGAUGUGAAAGCCCCGGGCUUAACCCGGGAAGUGCACUCGAUACUGCGUGGCUUGAGUAUCGGAGAGGUUGGUGGAAUUCUCGGUGUAGAGGUGAAAUUCGUAGAUAUCGAGAGGAACACCGGUGGCGAAGGCGGCCAACUGGACGAAUACUGACGCUGAGACACGAAAGCGUG